CACGAGAGCCCCUUAUCACAAGUGACAACUCCGUGCUCUCUCAACAAAAAUCGUUCUCCCAGACAUCAAAGUGAAUGAGAAUGAUAGCCAACUCAAAGCAGUAGAGAAUUACCUAUAUCUUGGCAGUGUCGUAUCUUGAAGAGCCAGUCUUGGUGUUGAUCUCGAAGCAAGCUAGCCUCGCAUUUGGCAGACUGAGAUUUAGAGUAUCUAACGUCUGUGGUGCACCUUACAAGAUGAGUCACAGUCACAGAGGGGAAAACUCUUUGGUACCGACAAACGGUCGCAGCAUGAGUCACAUAUUGUGUUUGUUGCUUGUACUACUGUCCGUGGUAGUUACCCCAAAUUCAGCGUCGUGUGUGGACAGUGUGGGCUACAUGCACAAGGUGGGCACCGCCUACAACGAAGGAUGCAACAUCUGUUCUUGUACGGAAUUUGGCGCCAUUUGCACUCUAGAUCGCUGUCGCUCACGACCCGGAAACAACAAGUUUGAAUGGUAAAAUAGACUUAAUGAUAUCUCACCACCCCCA